UAGAUAGGUUAGGGUUAUUUUUUUUUUUUUUUUUUUGUUAAACGAAACUGUCGUUAAACGUACUUCUUAAGUUAGAUAGGUUAGGGUUAUUUUUUUUUUUUUUUUUGUUAAACGAAACUGUCGUUAAACGUACUUCUUAAGUUAGAUAGGUUAGGGUUAUUUAUUUUUUUUUUUUUUUGUUAAACGAAACUGUCGAUAAAUGU
rnacentral:misc_RNA from 1 species